AUGUGUUCGACCAAAUGCCGCCUCCUGCUCAGGCGGCUCCACGACCGCCAUUUCUCCACCGCCACGCCACCUAACCACCGGAAGAGCAACCCGCAAGUCACCAUCCGGUGGCCGGAGCGAUCCAAGCCCUCUCCUGAUGCCGGAGACACGGCGAGGGCCCAUGAGGCCACCGUCAGGAGGCUCGCGGCGGCGGGCGACGUGGACGGCGUCCAGUACGCGCUGCAGGAGAUGCGGCUGCGCGGGGUGGCGUGCCCCGAGGGUGCCCUCGUCGCCGCCAUCUGCGCCUUCGCCCGCGCCGGCGCGGCCGACCGCGCGCUCAAGACGUUCUACCGCGCGCACGACCUGGGGUGCGCGGCGCCCACCGUGCGGGUGUACAACCACCUGCUCGACGCGCUGCUCCGGGAGAACCUGGUCGGGGCGGUGGUGCCGGUGUACGAGAACAUGAGGGAGGCCGGCGUCGAGCCCAACGUGCACACCUACAAUCUGCUCAUGAAGGCGCUGUGCCAGAACGACCGGGUCGACGCCGCACGCAAGAUGCUCGACGAAAUGGCCAGGAAGGGCUGCCAGCCAGACGUGGUGAGCCACACGACGAUCGUUUCUGCGCUUUGCAAGUUGGGAAGGGUGGACGAGGCCAGGAGGGUCGUGGCAGAGACAGUGCCUGUGUGCUCCUCGUACAAUGCCGUUGUUCACGCGCUGUGCAGGCAGUUCAGGAUGCGGGAGGUGCUCUCGGUUAUCGACGAGAUGAUUCACCGGGGACUGCACCCAGAACCUGCUACCUACACAAGCAUAGUCGAUGCACUCUGCAAGGCUGGGGAGAUGAAGAUGGCUUGCGCCAUUUUGGCUAGGAUGGUAAGCGAAGGUUGUGCUCCAAAUGUUCAAACAUUCACUGUGUUGGUCAAAGGAUUCUUCGAUGCCGGAAAGGCGCAUGACGCGAUUGGCAUGUGGAAUUGGAUGGUGGCUGAAGGAUGGGCACCAACGACAAUCUCUUACAAUGUUCUCAUCCGUGGCCUUUGCCACACUGGUGAUCUUAAGAGGGCAUCGUCUGUUUUCAGUGGCAUGGAGCAAAACGGUUGUUUUCCUGAUGUAAGGACCUAUUCUACUCUCAUUGACGGAUUCUCCAAAGCUGGGGACCUAGAUGGUGCCAUGUCAAUAUGGAAUGACGUGACAAAUGCUGGUUUCAAGCCAAACGUUGUUGUUUAUACAAAUAUGGUGGAUGUGCUUUGCAAGAAGGCGAUGUUUGAUCAGGCAGAGAAUCUCAUUGAUAAGAUGUUGAUGGAAAAUUGUCCUCCUAACACAUUGACAUUCAACACGUUGAUCAGAAGCCUGUGUCACUGCGGAAGAGUGGGAAGAGCCUUGAGUGUGUUCCAUGGUAUGGGAAGAUAUGGAUGCUCUCCAAACGACAGGACUUACAAUGAGUUGCUUCAUGGUCUUUUCAGGGAAGGAAACUGCGAAGACGCUCUUCGAAUGCUGAUCCAGAUGCUAAACCAUGGGCUUGAGUUGACUCCAGUAUCUUACAACACUACUAUUAGUGGUCUGUGCCAGAUGGGAAGGAACAAAGAAGCUAUAAUUCUUCUCGGGAGGAUGAUAGUCCAACAAAUUCAACCAGAUGCAUUCACUUUCAAUGCGAUAAUUCAUGCUUACUGCAAGGAAGGGAAUGUCAAGGCUGCUGCUUGGAUGUUAGGUCAAAUGGUUGCAGUUAAUUGUCCACGCAACAUAGUUGCAUACACAAGUCUGAUGUCAGGGCUUUGCAGUCAGCACAGGUUGGAUGAUGCCAUGGUCUAUCUCUUGAAGAUGUUAUAUGAAGGAAUAUGUCCAAAUGAAGCAACAUGGAAUGUGUUGGUCCGUGGGAUAUUUACACACAUGGGCACCAUCGGACCAAUGCACUUGAUUGAGCAUAUUUAUGAAGAUUUAUAA
rnacentral:rRNA from 1 species